CACCAUGACUCUCAUCACCAUCCUCAUCUGGACGCUGGCCUGCUGCUGCCUCAGAGGAUCUAGUGGUCAAGUCACUGUGACUCAACCUGCUGUAGUCACAUCUUCUCUUGGAUCCACAGUCACUCUGAGCUGUAAAACCAACCCAAAAGUUUAUGUUUGGUCAGAUGGAGGUAGUAGAGUACACUGGUAUCAGCAGAAAUCUGGACAGAGUCCUAAACUGUUCAUCUACAAUGGUAAACACAUACAAUCCAACAGUGGAGUUCCAGCUCGAUUCAGUGGACGAGGAGACGGAGUAAACGCUGUGAUGACCAUCAGUGGAGUUCAGACUGAAGAUGCAGCAGUUUAUUACUGUCAGAGUGCACAUGAAAUAAACAGUGCUUGGGUGUGGACUUUUGGUGGAGGAACCAAACUCAUCAUUGACUCCGGCUCCAGGGUCAGGCCCUCGGUCUCUCUGCUUCCCCCCUCCUCCGAGCAGCUCUCCGGGGGCUCGGCCACGCUGGCCUGCCUGCUGAGCGGCUACUCUCCUCCGGGAGCCGUGGUGAGCUGGGAGGUGGACGGCGCGGAGGUGACGGAGGGGGUCCUGACCAGCUCAGAGGAGGAGAAGAGCGGACGCUACAGCAGCAGCAGCACCCUGAGCCUGAGCCAGGAGCGCUGGAUGGAAGGAGAGCUGUACUCCUGCAAGGUCCUCCAUCACGACCACAGCCAGACCCAGUCCCUCCACAGGAGCCAGUGUGAGGCCUAGAGGGGCUGGCUGAAGCCCAGGACGGGAGCUGUGUGUGGGGGGAGCAGGAGGAACACACCUGCUGCUCUCAGCAAUAUGACUUUUAAUGUUUGUAGAGGAAACUAAAGCUUUGUGUGACAGAGAACAGCACUGCUGUAAAGUGUUGGACAGCAACAACUUAGAGAGUAAUGUGUGUAGCUCAGCAGCGAGAUGUGAGUGUGCUUCAUAACUGUCAUGUUGAUGGUUGAUGUUUGUGCUAAUAAAGCUUGAAGUGAUCAAUAACUUGA